AUCCACCGUCGGGGGCGCCCGGCCGGGGUUGCCCGGGGGCGGCGCGCGGGAGUCGCGGCUGGAGGGGCGCCGCGACCAGAGCCGGAGGAGCCCGGGAGCCGCGGCCGCCGCACACAAAGGCGCGGCCACGCGAGCCGCGGGAGAGCGGGAGGCGGCCCGGGGGACGCGCCCCGCCGGGGCACCGAGGCAGCGCUGCGCGCGGGCCGGGCGCCCAGGGCGCGGGGCGCGGCGCGGGGGCCCGGGGCGGCGCGGCGACUUCAGGUGCGCGGGGCGAGGCUGGGACGGCGGCGGCGGCGGCGGCUGGCCCCGCUCCUCCUCCUCCUCCCCGGGCGGACUGAGGAGAGGAGCCGCGGAGACAAGGGGCCCGGCCCCUCCCCUCCCGCUCCCCCUCCUGCCUCCGCCGCCGGUCCCCUCCCCGCGCCGCCGCUGCUCGGCCCCUCCCACCGCGGGCAGCUGGCGCGCCGCCCGCCGGGCCGGUGCGCUCCUCGGCCCGGCCCGCCUCCGGGCGCGCCGACCCCGCCCCGGGCCGGCCCCUGCCCCGCGCGGCCCCUAGCCGCUCACCCCGCGCCUCGCGCCGCGCUCGCCUUCCCCAUCGCCCGCGCCUCGGCCUCCCCCUCUCCGGGCCCCUCUUCUUCCCACCUCGCCCCCCUUCCCUCUCCGGUCCUCUUUGUCCCCGCUGCCUCGGAGCGCUCCUCGCUCCCCUCCUUUCCUCGGCCGCUUCGGCCAGCCCCGCCGCCGCCAGCCCCGUGCGCCGGGUGGCCCUCCCGCCCCCUUUGGGACCGCCGCUUCUCUCGGCCCCCAGCUUCUGCCACCGCAUCCGCACGCGGUCCGUUCCCUUCUCACUCCUCUUUCCAUCGGUCGCCUCUCCUCGCCCCUAUUCCUUCCUCGUGGGUACCGGGGUCCCGGUCCCUCUACCCUACUUUGCCUUCCUCCACAAAUGUCCCCUGCUUGGAGGCACCUAACCCAGCAGCUAGCCGGGAGCCGGGACCCCUUGUACACCUGUGA
rnacentral:lncRNA from 1 species